rnacentral:rRNA from 1 species
GAUGAACGCUAGCUACAGGCUUAACACAUGCAAGUCGAGGGGUAACAAGAGGAAAGCUUGCUUUUCUUGUUGACGACCGGCGCACGGGUGAGUAACGCGUAUCCAACCUGCCUACAACUAGGGAAUAACCUUGCGAAAGUAAGACUAAUACCCUAUGAUUUCCUUUGAUGACAUCAGAUUAGGAAUAAAGAUUUAUCGGUUAUAGAUGGGGAUGCGUCUGAUUAGCUUGUUGGCGGGGUAACGGCCCACCAAGGCAACGAUCAGUAGGGGUUCUGAGAGGAAGGUCCCCCACAUUGGAACUGAGACACGGUCCAAACUCCUACGGGAGGCAGCAGUGAGGAAUAUUGGUCAAUGGGCGGAUGCCUGAACCAGCCAAGUAGCGUGCAGGAUGACGGCCCUAUGGGUUGUAAACUGCUUUUAUACAGGAAUAAAGUUAGCCACGUGUGGUUAUUUGUAGGUACUGUAUGAAUAAGGACCGGCUAAUUCCGUGCCAGCAGCCGCCGUAA